rnacentral:rRNA from 1 species
AGAGUUUGAUCCUGGCUCAGAUUGAACGCUGGCGGUAUGCUUUACACAUGCAAGUCGAACGGAUCAAGAAGCUUGCUUCUUGGUUAGUGGCGAACGGGUGAGUAAUAUAUCGGAACAUAUCCGGAAGUGGGGGAUAACGUAGCGAAAGUUACGCUAAUACCGCACAUGCCCUGAGGGGGAAAGGGGGGGAUCGCAAGACCUCUCGCUUUCGGAGUGGCCGAUAUCGGAUUAGCUAGAUGGUGAGGUAAAGGCUCACCAUGGCGACGAUCCGUAGCUGGUCUGAGAGGACGACCAGCCACACUGGAACUGAGACACGGUCCAGACUCCUACGGGAGGCAGCAGUGGGGAAUUUUGGACAAUGGGCGAAAGCCUGAUCCAGCCAUACCGCGUGAGUGAAGAAGGCCUUCGGGUUGUAAAGCUCUUUCAGCCGGAAAGAAAUCGCAUUCCUUAAUACGGGGUGUGGAUGACGGUACCGGAAGAAGAAGCACCGGCUAACUACGUGCCAGCCGCCGCGGU